UUGACCUCAAAUCAGGUAGGACCACCCGCUGAACUUAAGCAUAUCAAUAAGCGGAGGAAAAGAAACUAACCAGGAUUCCCUUAGUAACUGCGAGUGAACCGGGAAGAGCUCAAAUUUGUAAUCUGGCGGUCAUUCGAUCGUCCGAGUUGUAAUCUAGAGAAGUGUUACCUGCUCUGGACCGUGUACAAGUCUCCUGGAAUGGAGCAUCACAGAGGGUGAGAAUCCCGUCUUUGACAUGGACUGCCAGAGCUUAAUAGGUGUGCUCUCGAAGAGUCGAGUUGUUUGGGAAUGCAGCUCAAAAUGGGUGGUAAAUGCCAUCUAAAGCUAAAUAUUGGCGAGAGACCGAUAGCGAACAAGUACCGUGAGGGAAAGAUGAAAAGAACUUUGGAAAGAGAGUUAAACAGUACGUGAAAUUGCUGAAAGGGAAACGCUUGAAGUCAGUCGCGUCGGUCGGAAAUCAACCUUGCUUCUGCUGGGCGUACUUUCCGUCCGACGGGUCAGCGUCAGUUUCGGUCGCUGGAUAAAGUUCUUGGGAAUGUGGCAUCCUCGGAUGUGUUAUAGCCCUUUGACAUACGCAGCGGCCGGGAUUGAGGAAUUCAGCACGCCCUCCGGGGCUGGGGACUCGUCCCACAAUCUGGGUGCUUAGGAUGCUGGCGUAAUGGCUUUAAUCGACCCGUCUUGAAACACGGACCAAGGAGUCUAACAUGCCUGCGAGUGUUUGGGUGGAAAACCCAUGCGCGCAAUGAAAGUGAAGGUUGAGAUCCCUGUCGUGGGGAGCAUCGACGCCCAGACCAGACCUUCUUGUGACGGAUCUGCGGUAGAGCAUGCAUGUUGGGACCCGAAAGAUGGUGAACUAUGCCUGAAUAGGGUGAAGCCAGAGGAAACUCUGGUGGAGGCUCGUAGCGAUUCUGACGUGCAAAUCGAUCGUCAAAUUUGGGUAUAGGGGCGAAAGACUAAUCGAACCAUCUAGUAGCUGGU
rnacentral:rRNA from 1 species